rnacentral:rRNA from 1 species
CGGCAGCCCGAGUGGCGAUCACUAUUAUUGGGUCUAAAGGGUCCGUAGCCGGUUUGAUCAGUCUUUUGGGAAAUCUGACAGCUUAACUGUUAGGCUUCCAAAGGAUACUGUCAGACUUGGGACCGGGAGAGGUAAGAGGUACUACAGGGGUAGGAGUGAAAUCUUGUAAUCCCUGUGGGACCACCAGUGGCGAAGGCGUCUUACCAGAACGGGUCCGACGGUGAGGGACGAAAGCUGGGGGCACGAACCGGAUUAGAUACCCGAGUAGUCC